rnacentral:lncRNA from 1 species
GGGUGGGGUGGAAUUUAUCUCACUUAGGUCUCAACAACCUGACCAUUACCUUUUUCCUCACCAACUUUACCAUUACCACCUGUUUCUCUUUUUGACUCUAUAAUAGGUAUAUCUUUAAUAAUAGGUUCAUCAUGAUUUAGCACUUUUGUAUUAGGUAAUGGGGGAUCCACAGUAGUUAUACAACUCCUUGUAGUAAUAACAAAAACAUGACCGUCAUUCUUUGAAUUUUGAAUAGUGCUGCUCGGAAGGGUACCUGGCUGCCU